GAUGAACGCUAGCGGCAGGCUUAAUACAUGCAAGUCGAGGGGCAGCAUGAAGUAGCAAUACUUUGAUGGCGACCGGCAAACGGGUGCGGAACACGUACACAACCUUCCUUUUAGUGGGGAAUAGCCCAGAGAAAUUUGGAUUAAUACCCCGUAACAUAACCGAGUGGCAUCACUUGGUUAUUAUAGCUUCGGCGCUAGAUGAUGGGUGUGCGUAUGAUUAGAUAGUUGGCGAGGUAACGGCUCACCAAGU
rnacentral:rRNA from 1 species